CAUGUAUUUUCACCACAAAAACAGAACUAGUUCUAGUAUAUCUUAAAAUCGCGUCACAAAAUAAACCAUUAUAUGACCCUGAGUUUUUUUGAAAAAAAUUCUGAAAAAUUUCUUAUUUUCCUUUUUAUUUAUUUAUUUUUAAAAAGUGCUGGUAUUUGGUGACACACAUCUGGUAUUCGUACGAAGAAUAGUAUUGUUACUACAUGCAAGAAUGAUAGAAAACAAGACAUUCGUUUACAGUUAGCUUUUUUGGGUUUUGAUUUCCUGUUGAGUGUCACUUUCACGAACCCAGAACACGCGAGCCAAACAAAAAACGAAAGAAAAAUUGACAAAUUGCACGGUAGUACAAAACAAUAAAACCAAAACAAAGAGCUGAAGUCAAGGCUAGUGUUUAAUUAUUAUUUAAAAUCUAAGUGAAAAAUGUAUAAACUUGAAAAAGAAGUCCGCAAUGGCGGAAUUUAACAACAAUAGUACAAAAAAGUCGUAUAUAAAGAGUUUUUUCACUUUUCCAACCAACAAAAAAGUUGGCAAAAUGGCGAACUUUUUGUAACAAAACAUAUAAUUUUAAUUAUAAAUAUGCCUUAUUAUAUUGGAUCAUUUUAUAGAUGACGUGAUUGUGAUAUUUUAUCUGCACAUUAUUCAAUUUGGUUCACUAUGUUUCACAUUUCCGUUUUCCAUUUGACAAUUCUUAUGUUGCCUAUUCCCUUUCGUGGGUCGUGAGCGCGUUACUAUGUCGUAAUCUUGCCGUCUAUCAUUCUUGACUACAUGUGCGUUUCGGGUAUAAAUAUAUUUGUUUGUAUGUAUGUCCCAUAUUGGUAUGGUUUUUUAUAGACACCCUCAGGCAUGGACGGCAUACACGAUUCAUACUGCGCGCUAAAGGUACAUCUCUCUCGGGACCACGCUUAGAAAGUAUUCGCUUAUUAUGCUAGACUUGCUAACCAGAUUGGCUCUUCAAGGAUGAUAUUCUGGGCUCGAAUCGCGUCAGUCGUGAGCGAGCGAAUAAUCAUAUCGAGUGAAAUUUCGUAACGUAUCGUGUAGCCGGAUCGCCGUACUCGAUACGAAAAGAAUAGAAAUAACUUCCCUGAUGUUGCUCUAAAUUUCUUACGAAUAGCAUGAAAUGUGAAACUAAACACAAGAAAAAUUAUUUGAAUUGGAAUUGAACGUAAAUAUUCAAAUUUAUUAUACGUUUAUACAGAAAGUUUUUGCAGGCAAUAAAAUGAAGCCUACCGUGUUUUUUAUACAAGUUUAUCAGCACUCAGGAAGAGGUUUAGACUGGUCAAAGACGCAUUUUCUUGCAUCCUAUGGGAACUAAAAUUUAACGCUCCUUCAACUAGCAGCUCUAUGCCUUUUGGCGAGUGAAGGCUAUCACUUGUGGGAACGAUUUUUUAUUUGACAUGUGUCAAAGCUCAUUGAGUAAAAUUGUAGGGGACGUAUUUAAAAAGAUGAACACGAAACUUUGUCCAUGUUUCAAUAAAUUUUCGUCAUGCGAGGCUAUUAACACUCAGUAGGGAAUGAUUUUUUAAUUGACAUGUGUCAAAGCGCAUUGAGUAAAAUUGUAGGGGGCGUAGUUAAAGAGAUGAAAACGAAAUUUGGUCCAUGUUUCAUUAAAUUUUCGCCAGACCGUUUAUCUAAAUGCACAGGAUACUUUGUUGAGAAAUAUAAUAUGAGGAGGUAUGUUUGUCGACUAAAAGAUAAUACAAAAGGUGUCUAAGUAACUAAAAAAUUUUAGUUUUCGGAUGCAUUGAUGGUACACAUUUUGGCCUUCAAAAACCAACUGCGAAUGAACAUAUGUUUUUCAAAAGAAAAUUAUAAUUUGUUAUUACGAACAUCGAAUUUAGCUAUUGAUUCAUAAUAUGACGAACCCGCAUUUUGUGCAGAGGAGAUUUUUAGAAGAAUCUUACAAUCUGGACAAUUUCAGAAAUGUCUGGUUUUUGGGUAAUACAUGCACAUAUACAGCUACAAAAUAUAUUUAUAGACAUAUAUAUGCAUUUUGUCAAUUAACAGGAGAUUUUGGAUAGCCUUUGAAACCGUGGUGUUUGUCAUCAUUUAGAAACCCCGAGUUUGGCUCGUGCCAAGCACGGUUUAUUGAAAUACAUGCAAAAGCAUACUGUAUUGUUGAAUACAUCAUUGGUAUACUGAAGGACCGAUGGAAAAUUCUCAGUAAUGAUAAAGGAAGUCGGUAUAGUAUGCAUACAUUGAUAUAGAUGCUGGAAAUGAGACUCAAUUAACUAAAAAAUAGUCAUAAAAUUAGAGGUCAUACAUAUCAUGUUGUCUUUAGAUAAUAAUUAAAAAGGACAUUUGAAUUUAUAUGGUUUUAAAAAAUAUAUCUUCAAUAAAAAUAGAAACUUGGAAUUAACGUAUGGUAAUGGUGUUUAUUUCAGAACUCUUCUCUUUAAAAUAUCAAGCAUAUGAGUUUUUAUUUCCAACUCUACAGCUAUUAUUUGCAUAUCGGCUUUAUGUGACUCUUAUUUUAUUUGUAGCGACCUCUCUAUCAAAGCAAUUAAUUUCUCAAGAUUUUUAUUGAUAUGGGUUUGCGUUUCUUCAUAUGAGCGUAAAUUAGAUUUGGGGAC